rnacentral:rRNA from 1 species
GAGAGCGACCGGUGCUUGCACUGGUCAAUCUAGUAGCGAACGGGUGAGUAACACGUGGGUAACCUGCCCAUCAGAGGGGGAUAACAUUCGGAAACGGAUGCUAAAACCGCAUAGGUUCUUGAGUCGCAUGAUUCGAGAAGGAAAAGAGGCUUCGGCUUCUGCUGAUGGAUGGACCCGCGGUGCAUUAGCUAGUUGGUGAGGUAACGGCUCACCAAGGCCGCGAUGCAUAGCCGACCUGAGAGGGUGAUCGGCCACAUUGGGACUGAGACACGGCCCAAACUCCUACGGGAGGCAGCAGUAGGGAAUCUUCCGCAAUGGACGCAAGUCUGACGGAGCAACGCCGCGUGAGUGAAGAAGGAUUUCGGUUCGUAAAACUCUGUUGUUAGAGAAGAACAGCGCAUAGAGUAACUGUUAUGCGUGUGACGGUAUCUAACCAGAAAGCCACGGCUAACUACGUGCCAGCAGCCGCGGUAAUACGUAGGUGGCAAGCGUUGUCCGGAUUUAUUGGGCGUAAAGCGAGCGCAGGCGGUCAAUUAAGUCUGAUGUGAAAGCCCCCGGCUCAACCGGGGAGGGUCAUUGGAAACUGGUUGACUUGAGUGCAGAAGAGGAGAGUGGAAUUCCAUGUGUAGCGGUGAAAUGCGUAGAUAUAUGGAGGAACACCAG